GCCAGUCCAUGGGUGCAAACCUUGCGUCUGUACAUCUAGCUGAGGAGUAUCAUGGGAUUAAAAAGAUGAUAGAAGAUAAAACUCAUGGGCAUCCACAGACAUGGCUUGGAGGUUCUGAUGCUGAAGAGGAGGGUGUUUGGCUCUGGAAUGAUGGUACACGUUUCAGCUUUUCAUACUGGUGCAGGGGGGAGCCGAACAAUGAUGGGUGGCAGCACUGUAUACAGAUGAGUUAUGGAGAUAACAAAUGCUGGGAUGAUACAAAGUGUCACUAUCACCUAUCUUCUGUCUGUGCCAAGAAAAUCUAACGAUUCCUGGUCUGACACACGAGGCAUGAAGUCCCUGUAAGCAACACAAACUGGAGGAUUGUUUGAGUAUGUUUGCAGACUCAUCUGUCUUUAUGCCAUCAGUCUCAUGUAACCUGAAGGCUCUGUAUCACAUUUCUUAUUUGUCUUUGCUAUCGCUGUAACGCUACUGAAGGAAUGAAGUGACAAGUGACAUAAACAGGAGCUGGACUGUCUCUGAGGCCUUGUGCCUUUAAUGAGAGCAGACUGAAUGUGUUAUGAAAAGAAUGCUUUUAGCACAAAUCUACAUAUAUUCUGCAAAGUAAACUCUUCUUUCUUGUCUUAUGCAAAAUUAAAGGCUCAAGCAUCAAAACAAA